GGUAGAAUGACUGAAAUAGUGGUGGAUUGUAGCUCCAUAAAUAGAGGUUAAAGCCCUCUUUUUGCCA
rnacentral:tRNA from 1 species